rnacentral:rRNA from 1 species
AACGAACGCUGGCGGCAUGCCUAACACAUGCAAGUCGAACGAGACCUUCGGGUCUAGUGGCGCACGGGUGCGUAACGCGUGGGAACCUGCCCUUAGGUUCGGAAUAACUCCCCGAAAGGGGUGCUAAUACCGGAUAAUGUCUUCGGACCAAAGAUUUAUCGCCUUUGGAUGGGCCCGCGUUGGAUUAGCUAGUUGGUAGGGUAAAAGCCUACCAAGGCGACGAUCCAUAGCUGGUCUGAGAGGAUGAUCAGCCACACUGGGACUGAGACACGGCCCAGACCCCAAGGGGAGGCAACGGGGGGGAAAAUGGGGCAGGGGGGCAAGGCCUGACACACCAAUGCCGGGGUAGUAAAAAAGGCCUUAGGGUUGUAAAGCUCUUUUACCCGGAGGGAAAAUGACGGACCGGGAAAAAAAACCCCGGGCUACCACCGU